rnacentral:rRNA from 1 species
UACGAAGGGGGCUAGCGUUGUUCGGAAUUACUGGGCGUAAAGCGCGCGCAGGCGGUCUUCCAAGUCAGUGGUGAAAGCCCGGAGCUCAACUCCGGACUGCACUUGAAACUGUAAGACUUGAGGACGAGAGAGGUGAGUGGAAUUCCCAGUGUAGAGGUGAAAUUCGUAGAUAUUGGGAAGAACACCGGUGGCGAAGGCGGCUCACUGGCUCGUAUCUGACGCUCAGGCGCGACAGCGUGGGGAUCAAACAGG